rnacentral:rRNA from 1 species
UACGUAGGGGGCAAGCGUUGUCCGGAUUUAUUGGGCGUAAAGAGCGUGUAGGCGGCCAGGUAGGUCUGCUGUGAAAACUCGAGGCUUAACCUCGAGCUGUCGGCGGAAACCAUCUGGCUAGAGUCCGGAAGAGGAGAAUGGAAUUCCCGGUAUAGCGGUGAAAUGCGCAGAUAUCGGGAAGAACACCCGUGGCGAAGGCGGUUCUCUGGGACGGUACUGACGCUGAGACGCGAAAGCGUGGGGAGCGAACAGG